AACCAUAGAAACCUGCGGAGUACCUGCGGAGGGAUCAUUAACAACCAUAUAAAAUCAUUAACGAGAAUUUCAUUUGUUCUCGUUUUUAUUUUUUUCCACAUAAACCCCUUUAUAGUCUUGGUCGGUGGUCAGCUCAGCUUUUCCAGUUCUUUUUAGUUCUGGAGCGCUUAUGCUGCUGCUGUCGCUGAGAAAAACCGUUAUUGUCUUUACUAUUGGUGAACACCAAGUCAACAAACAAAA
rnacentral:misc_RNA from 1 species